ACUUUUGAGGUGUGGAUGCGCUUUUGUGCAAGAAGUUUUUGCGGAAGAUCUCUUCAGCAAAAACCUUCUUUGGAAAAAACCCUGCAGUGUAGACAAAGCCAUAGUGUCAGCAUUUAUUAACUGUGAUAGCAACUUUAAAAUUACAAAAACAAAUCCUAGAAUUAUAGCUAUGAAAGUUAUAUUAAUUACAUUGACCAGUCAAUAAAUAAUGUAUAACAAGGAGUAUUACACAAUAUACAACUGUUGCAACAAUGUACAAUAUACACAAUGCUAUUUUGUGCUACCUACAGUAUGUUACAUUCUCAUACUACCCUCAAAGUAGGUUUUGUGGACUGACUGAUUUCUUUAACUUGCUCUGCGGCAGUGAAUAGCCAAUUACAAUAUCAAUCAUGAAUUAUAUUGUUUAAAUUUAAAAAUUAUUUAAUCUUUAACUUGUUUUUAGAUGUAAUACUUAAAACUCCAGAGAGAGGUCACAGAGAUUAGUAUUUUUUUUAUUAUUAUUUUUUUCUGUUCAGUUGACAGCACUUAUAGUACAGACUGUUUUCCCAUUUACAUUUUUUCUCCUGUUUUAUACAGGUGUCUUAAGGUAGAGAUAAGGAUUUACAAUUUAGAAAAUGAAAAACUACAAACUUAGCAAGGGAACUCACGGGCAGAUAUAAUAA